rnacentral:SRP_RNA from 1 species
GCCGGGAGUGGUGGCGUGUGCCUGUAGUCCCAGCUAUUCGGGAGGCUGAGGCUGGAGGAUCGCUUGAGCCCAGGAGUUCUGGGCUGUAGUGCGCUAUGCCGAUUGGGUGUCCGCACUAAGUUUGGCAUCAGUAUGGUGACCUCUUGGGAGUGGGGGACCACCAGAUUGCCUAAGGAGGGGUGAACGGGCCCAGGUUAGAAAAGGAGCAGGUCAAAACUCCCGUGCUGAUCAGUAGUGGGAUCCAGCCUGUGAAGAGCCACUGCACUCCAGCCUGGGCAACAUAGCGAGACUCCGUCUCU